rnacentral:misc_RNA from 1 species
GAACGCACCUUGCGCCCUUUGGCUAUUCCGAAGGGCUUGCCUGUUUGAGUAUCAUGAACACCUCAACUCUCAUGGUUUGCCGUGAUGAGCUUGGACUUUGGGGGUCUUGCUGGCCUAUGGUCGGCUCCUCUCAAAUGAAUCAGCUUGCCAGUGUUUGGUGGCAUCGCGGGUGUGAUAACUAUCUACACUUGUGGUUUUCCACCAGAUAACCUUCAGCAAUGAAGGUUCGCUGGAGCUCACAAAUGUCUCUCCUCGGCGAGGACAGCUUUCUGAACGUUUGAUCUCAAAUCAGGUAGGACUACCCGCUGAACUUAAG